AAACCAGAGGAGCAAAACUCAGUGAGGCUAAAGUAUUAACACUAAAAUAAACAGAUUUCAUCUUGGUAGAAAAGAGCUUAUGCUUUUCUCUUUUCUUCCAAUAAACUGGGCUAUAUGUAUAUAAGCUGCUUGGUAAUAAUAGUGGCUAAUGUUUAUUCAGCCCCAACCACUGUGGUGUUUUAUUACAUUAUCAUAUGUAUUCCUUGCAACAACCUAUGAAGUAGGUGCUUUUAUAAUCCCUACUUUACAGGUAGGAAAGUGAAGCUCAGAGAACUCAGAGUAACUUUCCUGAAGUCAUAUUGCCUUUUAGUGACUCAAACAGGACUGCAGCCCUGACCUCUGGUACCAGCAGCACAUGUGGACUUACAGAAAUAAACCCCUGAACCUGCACACAUCAUGUGCACACUGAAUCAUCAAAGCAAGGUGAGAGCUGAGGUGUCAAUAACAAUACCUGGAACUGUGCAAAGACUUCGCCAUGAUAAUCAAAAUCACAUACACAUCUCAGCAGAUAAAUGUUUUUUCUCUGGUUGGCUUUUCAGUAAAACAAAGACACUUUCUGGAAGCUACAGGUGCAUUGAUUAUGAUUUCAAUAAACUAUUGGACUGCAACGGGUCUCCUGGGCAGUGUGUGUUUGAUACCUGGUUGACCAGCUGCUGAAGAUCCAGAGCUCAAUAACAGUACAGUCAAGAAAGGAACAUUCAACAACAAGGAUGUUAAGCAUGCUUGGCUUUUUUGAAAGGAUUUUAGGAGAUUGAGCUAAUUAAUUGAGAUUAUUUAAUGUUAACCUUUUUGUCAGGGCACUACUGAAAAAUGGUGUGGCAGCCAGAAAAUCUGAGACAUUUGGCAACUUAGGAUAAUGCUCUCUGGAGUUUUUAAGGUGGUUGCCAGAGCAACCUCAGGGACUAGAUCCUGGAAGAGCUGAAACAUUCUAUUUUAAAAACACCCAGUUGAUCAUCAGAGAGCCAGAAUGAAACAACCACAUAAUAAGGCAGAUAUUGGAAAUUCUUAAAAUGAUGAGCGUCUUCCCAAACUGGAAAUAAUUGAUGAGGAAUAUUUUAAACCCUGGAAGCAAAGAGAUUUCAAAAGGAGAUGCAAUUUUAAAGACACUCAUCUAUGGAGUGCCCCAAAUGCACUAGGACUGCACAGGCUGUGUGGGGAACUCAAGGUUGAAAAAGAUAUAUCCUUGGCCCUCAGGAAGACUACAGCCAGUGUAAAGGGGACCAUAACGAUGUCUACAUCCCAGGGCUGUCGCGAGUGAGAUCAUCCAACCAAGCACUUUGUACAACGUCUGGCAUAUUAUACCACAUAUAAUACCUUAAUAAAUGUUGUUAUAGAAAAAAACACUUAAGCCUCUGUUGCGAGCUGAAUGUUCAUCUCCCCAUAAAAUUCACAUGUUGAAACGCUACCCCCUAAUGUGAUGGUGUUAGGAAGUGGGGUCUCUGGGAGUUGAUUAGGAUUAGAUGACAACAUGAGGGUGGAGCCCUCGUGAAUGGGAUUAGUGUCCUGAUAAAGGGUGCAGAGAGAGCUUGCCCCUCCACCAUGUAAGGCUGCAGCAAGAAGACAGCUGUCUAUGAACCAGGAAGUGGCCCUCUACAGAUGCUGAAUUGUCUGGCACCUUAAUCUUGGACUUCCCAGCCUCCAGAGCUGUGAGAGAUACAUUUGUGUUGUUAAGCCACUGAGUCUAGGGUAUUUUGUUAUAGCAGCACAAAGAUAGCCACUGAGAACCAAUCUUCCAUGUCUAGCUAACCUCGCCUCCUCCAGCAAAAAAAAAAAAAAAGAACCCGAGCCCCCCUUCCACUCUCUGCAUAGCAGUGUGACACCCCCUAGUGGCCUCUCCAGAAGCUUAUGCAUGCCAUGGCUUCCGGGCAGCCAGCAUAGCACCAUGGGUGGUCAGGGCCCUUCAUCACUUCCUUCAGCCCCAGCAUGGGUCAAUGCUGUCCUGCUCUCAAGUGACAACUUCUGGGCAGUGAAGUGCCUGGGAUCUCCUGGGAAGGGACAUCCCAUAAACAAAAAUAAUUACAAUAAUUACAUGACUUUGGCCCUAC
rnacentral:lncRNA from 1 species